UGGGGAAUUUUGGACAAUGGGCGCAAGCCUGAUCCAGCAAUGCCGCGUGCAGGAUGAAGGCCUUCGGGUUGUAAACUGCUUUUGUACGGAGCGAAAAGGUCUGCCCUAAUACGGUGGGCUCAUGACGGUACCGUAAGAAUAAGCACCGGCUAACUACGUGCCAGCAGCCGCGGUACUACGUAGGGUGCGAGCGUUAAUCGGAAUUACUGGGCGUAAAGCGUGCGCAGGCGGUUAUAUAAGACAGGUGUGAAAUCCCCGGGCUCAACCUGGGACCUGCAUUUGUGACUGUAUAGCUAGAGUACGGUAGAGGGGGAUGGAAAUCCGCGUGUAGCAGUGAAAUGCGUAGAUAUGCGGGGGAACACCGAUGGCGAAGGCAAUCCCCUGGACCUGUACUGACGCUCAUGCACGAAAGCGUGGGGAGCAAACA
rnacentral:rRNA from 1 species